CGGGGUAAAAGCCCACCAAGGCGACGAUCUGUAGCUGGUCUGAGAGGACGACCAGCCACACUGGAACUGAGACACGGUCCAGACUCCUACGGGAGGCAGCAGUGGGGAAUUUUGGACAAUGGGCGCAAGCCUGAUCCAGCAAUGCCGCGUGCAGGAUGAAGGCCUUCGGGUUGUAAACUGCUUUUGUACGGAACGAAACGGUCCUUUCUAAUACAAGGGGCUAAUGACGGUACCGUAAGAAUAAGCACCGGCUAACUACGUGCCAGCAGCCGCGGUAAUACGUAGGGUGCAAGCGUUAAUCGGAAUUACUGGGCGUAAAGCGUGCGCAGGCGGUUAUAUAAGACAGAUGUGAAAUCCCCGGGCUCAACCUGGGACCUGCAUUUGUGACUGUAUAGCUAGAGUACGGUAGAGGGGGAUGGAAUUCCGCGUGUAGCAGUGAAAUGCGUAGAUAUGCGGAGGAACACCGAUGGCGAAGGCAAUCCCCUGGACCUGUACUGACGCUCAUGCACGAAAGCGUGGGGAGCAAACAGGAUUAGAUACCCUGGUAGUCCACGCCCUAAACGAUGUCAACUGGUUGUUGGGUCUUCACUGACUCAGUAACGAAGCUAACGCGUGAAGUUGACCGCCUGGGGAGUACGGCCGCAAGGUUG
rnacentral:rRNA from 1 species